rnacentral:rRNA from 1 species
UACGUAGGGGGCGAGCGUUGUCCGGAAUUAUUGGGCGUAAAGAGCGUGUAGGCUGUUCGGUAAGUCUGCCGUGAAAACCUGAGGCUCAACCUCGGGCGUGCGGUGGAUACUGCCGGGCUAGAGGACGGUAGAGGCGAGUGGAAUUCCCGGUGUAGCGGUGAAAUGCGCAGAUAUCGGGAGGAACACCAGUAGCGAAGGCGGCGCGCUGGGCCGUUCCUGACGCUGAGACGCGAAAGCUAGGGGAGCGAACAGG